CCUACGGGGGGCAGCAGUGAGGAAUAUUGGUCAAUGGACGAGAGUCUGAACCAGCCAAGUAGCGUGAAGGAUGACUGCCCUAUGGGUUGUAAACUUCUUUUAUAUGGGAAUAAAAUGUUCCACGUGUGGGAUUUUGUAUGUACCCUAUGAAUAAGGAUCGGCUAACUCCGUGCCAGCAGCCGCGGUAAUACGGAGGAUCCGAGCGUUAUCCGGAUUUAUUGGGUUUAAAGGGAGCGUAGGUGGAUUGUUAAGUCAGUUGUGAAAGUUUGCGGCUCAACCGUAAAAUUGCAGUUGAAACUGGCAGUCUUGAGUACAGUAGAGGUGGGCGGAAUUCGUGGUGUAGCGGUGAAAUGCUUAGAUAUCACGAAGAACUCCGAUUGCGAAGGCAGUUCACUGGACUGCAACUGACACUGAGGCUCGAAAGUGUGGGUAUCAAACAGGAUUAGAUACCCGAGUAGUC
rnacentral:rRNA from 1 species